UACGUAGGUGGCAAGCGUUAUCCGGAAUUAUUGGGCGUAAAGCGCGCGCAGGUGGUUUCUUAAGUCUGAUGUGAAAGCCCACGGCUCAACCGUGGAGGGUCAUUGGAAACUGGGAGACUUGAGUGCAAAAGAGGAAAGUGGAAUUCCAUGUGUAGCGGUGAAAUGCGUAGAGAUAUGGAGGAACACCAGUGGCGAAGGCGACUUUCUGGUCUGUAACUGACACUGAGGCGCGAAAGCGUGGGGAGCAAACAGG
rnacentral:rRNA from 1 species